UUGGUUAGGAUUUGAUUUAAGAUUUAGGAUUUGGUUAAGAUUUGGUUUAGGAUUUAGGGUUUAGUUUAGGAUUUGAUUAGGGUUUUAUUUAAGAUUUAGGAUUUGGAUUAGGAUUUGGUUAGGAUUUGAUUUAGGGUUAGGAUUUGGUUUAGAAUUAUGUUAAGAUUUGGUUUAGGAUUUGGUUGGGAUUUGGUUUAAGGUUUGUUUAGGGUUUGAUUUAGGAUUUAGGAUUUUAUUAGGAUUUAAGAUUCAAUUAGUUUUGGCCUAAAGUUUGAAUGAAGAUUAAUAGGAUUUUAAUUAGAAUUAAAUUAAGAUUGAAUUGAGAUGUAUUUGAAUGAUAUUUAUAAUUCUUUUAAUAUUUCUUUAAGAAUUUCUAUUGUUUGUUUGAAAUUUCUUUGAUUUUUUUUUUUAAUUUGGUUAAGCUUGCUUAGUAUUAUUAUGGUCUAAUUAGAACAUUGUUAGUAUUCUAUU
rnacentral:lncRNA from 1 species